GGAUUAGAUACCCUGGUAGUCCACGCAGUAAACGAUGAUUACUCGAUAUUGGCGAUAUACGGUCAGUGUCUAAGCGAAAGUGAUAAGUAAUCCACCUGGGGAGUACGGUCGCAAGAUUGAAACUCAAAGGAAUUGACGGGGGCCCGCACAAGCGGUGGAGCAUGUGGUUUAAUUCGAUGAUACGCGAGGAACCUUACCAGGGCUUAAAUGCAAAUUGACAGAGAUGGAAACAUCUUUUUCUUCGGACAGUAUGCAAGGUGCUGCAUGGCUGUCGUCAGCUCGUGCCG
rnacentral:rRNA from 1 species